rnacentral:lncRNA from 1 species
GGGGUUUUAUGGGAUUUAGGGGUUUUCCCAUCUCCACCGCACUUAACGGCUUCGAUAAGAGAACGUUCUCCAGUGCCACCAAUCCCACUUUUAUGGGGUUUCUUUGCUUCUCUGACCCCAUGGUUCACUCUCAGUACCCUAAAUCUGUUGGGAUUUCCACUUGGAUCCAUCGAGAUUGUGGGGUUUUAUGGGAUUUGGGGUUUUCCCAUCUCCACUUCACCCAACGGCUUCGAUAAGAGAACGUUCUCCAGUGCCACCAAUCCCACUUUUAUGGGGUUUCUUUGCUUAUCUGACCCCAUAGUUCACUCUCAGUACCCUAAAUCUGUUGGGAUUUCCACUUGGAUCCAUCGGGAUUUUGGGGUUUUAUGGGAUUUGGGGUUUUCCCAUCUCCCUCCUCACCUGAC